AGUGAACGCUGGCGGUAGGCCUAACACAUGCAAGUCGAACGGCAGCACAGUAAGAGCUUGCUCUUACGGGUGGCGAGUGGCGGACGGGUGAGGAAUACAUCGGAAUCUACUUUUUCGUGGGGGAUAACGUAGGGAAACUUACGCUAAUACCGCAUGCGACCUACGGGUGAAAGCAGGGGAUCUUCGGACCUUGCGCGAUUGAAUGAGCCGAUGUCGGAUUAGCUAGUUGGCGGGGUAAAGGCCCACCAAGGCGACGAUCCGUAGCUGGUCUGAGAGGAUGAUUAGCCACACUGGAACUGAGACACGGUCCAGACUCCUACGGGAGGCAGCAGUGGGGAAUAUUGGACAAUGGGCGCAAGCCUGAUCCAGCCAUACCGCGUGGGUGAAGAAGGCCUUCGGGUUGUAAAGCCCUUUUGUUGGGAAAGAAAAGCAGCAGGUUAAUACCCCGCUGUUCUGACGGUACCCAAAGAAUAAGCACCGGCUAACUUCGUG
rnacentral:rRNA from 1 species